UCAUCUUGCGAUCCUUCCACGCCCACGCGCGAUCCUUCCCUUGGCGUAGAAAAAGAACCGUUGCCCCUUUUCCUUGGCAAGUCCGCACAUCGUGCCGCCCCUCCGCCGUCCUCGCCUUCCCCACCACGCCGUCGUCGCUCCCCCGUCAUCCACUCAUCCACUGCGCUGCCGCAAAAAGCGAUCCUCCUGCAUGCAUGCCGCUUCCCGCCGGAGCCGCUCGCCUCCCGCCAGAGCCGCUCUGCCUCCCUGCUCGCGCCGCGACGGAGAGGAAGGAUAGCUGGGGUCUGCUCACACCGCCACCAACGGAGAGGAAGUAUUUUGGUGUGUGGUUUAAGGAUUGUUGAUAUAACGAUUUCAUUUUGCCUAAUAGUGUUUGAUGAAAUUUUGUUCACGUUUUAUUAAUUAUUUUUCACUAAUGUGUCUGCAAAUACUUGAGUCAGGAUAAGAGGGAGGAUGCCAUAUUCAGCCUGGGUGCUCUCUGAAGAUGCAUAACCGUGUGAUGUCUAUAAAUUUCUUCUAGUGCCUGUUGUUGCAGGGUUUAUUUCUCUAUCUGUUUAGUUCUGCUUAUUCAUCAAUAUAAUCAAAGCUUCUGCUUAUUACUAUAGUUUUGUCAUGACUGAAUUCUUUACUAAUCAUGAGGCGCUACACUUUAUACUACCUAAAUUGAUUGGAAGAAUAUGCCUUCAAUGGAAUAAGUGGGACUAUACUUAAUCAUCCAGUUGUAUUACUGCCAAAACCCUAUUCCUUAAUCAUCCAGUUGUACAUAAAUGUUAGAUGCACAGGUUGCAUAUAUAACCCUAUUCCAUAAUCACCCAGUUGUACAUCUAUAUGUUCGUGCUUCAUACCAGCCUUCUGCCUUCAAUACCAUUAACAAUAUGUAUACUUAUGAUUUUUUCCCCGCUAACCAUGGCUGCUAGGAGAUCUUCCCUGUUGUGCUUCCUAAGGCCGUGCCCACCAUGCAAGGAGCAGAGCAAUGAUUACUGCGUUGAUAAGAUUGACUGAUUGAGAGGGUCAUGCUGAAGUGAUAGAUAUAACUGUGAUUGCAAGGAUGCUAAGAGACCAUGGCAAGCCCAAGGGAUGUAAGGAUGCCAACGCGAAACCAUGGCAAGCCCAAGGGCACAGCUAUCACGGCAGAAGGGGGUGGGCAGUGUUGAUGUUAGAAUAGAGCAGAGCUAUCAGGGAUGUGGAGCAGGUAAUCUCAGCGUACAAUAGACUAAUAAUUUUUGGGGCAAGAGAAAUGCAAAUCUCAGAUUGAUUAUAAUGGAAUGGGAGCAAAAGCAAAGAUAGUACCAGAUCCAACUCUCCUUUCCAGGAAGGUCAGAAGGUGAAUGAUGAACUGAUGAUGCUAUCUGAAGGUGAGUGACGAUGCUGUCUGAAGGUCAGAAGGUGAGUGAUUGCAAUUCUUGCAAGGGAAAAUACAUUGCUCCAUGAGUGUGACUCCUCUAGAGGUAUAUGAUGGAAUCUCAUUUCUACGGCAACCUUAAGUGCUAUGUGUCUGUUGGAGGAGAGGGAAUGCUGAUGAAACCUGAAGUUAUUAGACGACAGGUCCAUCAAACAUAUAUAUCAAGCAAGACAAAUGAUUCAAGUGAUAAUUCAAGAUUUAUGCUGCUGAAACAGGAGGUAGCUGCACUGGUGAUGCCUACAAGAGAGCUCACUGCGACAAGCUUCAUCAAUCCAAUUCUGAAGGUUGACCAGAACAAGCACAAGAUUGAUGAAAAAAGAUGCAAGAGCAGCAUUCGAAGCGUUCCAUUCUAGGAACGGAAGCAGCAGAGGAUGACUCGUUGAUGAAGUCAUACAUGCUGCUGUUGUCAGCGAACGCCGACUCCGGCAACUUGACAAGGUGAGAGGAAGUGAUGGCGCAGCUGCACAAGUUUAGCCUGUCGUAACAAUUGAUUAUGCUAUGCAUAUAUGGCCGUCUAAGGGGCAUCGAUUUGCACAUAUUUGGUUGUCUGGCAAGAGUGUACAAUGACAAGACUUCUCCGAAGAUUAUGUUUGGUCAAAAAAUGUGAUUGCUUGUUUGGUUGUAUCUUAGGUGUAGAUAUCUAUGAAUGAUUUUUGUGUUUUCCAUACAAUCUGAUUAUUUUCUAAUUGUAAGAUUUCUAUAAUUCGCU